rnacentral:lncRNA from 1 species
AAUUGGAAAAAAAAAUUAAAGUAUUUUAAAAAUAAAGCUCGUGAUCUUCGAUAUCAUUUAUUUAGUAAUCAAAAAAAUUUAAAAUCAAUGGAUAAAAAUAAAAAUCUCACAAGAUAAUUAUAUGACAUUAAAAUUUUAGUUUGAAGAUAUUGAUAUUGUUUUAUAUUAGGAUUAAUAAGUUUUUAUCAAAAUUUUAUAUAAUUUAAAUAUUUGUAUACAGUUAAAUUUAUAAAUUUUUAUAAUUCAGCUAAUAUCCUGAAGGCGACCUUCAUUCUUUUAAAUUAUUUUUUAUGAUAGAAAUUUUGAACCGAUAAUGAGAAUCAUUAAAAUUAAUCUAAAAUAUUUGAAUUAUCUAAAAAUUAAAUUUUAAAAAAUUAUUUAUAUAGUAAUUAAAGGAUUAUAAAAUUAAUAAUUUUAAUGGUCUAUAAAAAUCGUUUACUUGUGAACUGAAUG